UACAGAGGGUGCGAGCGUUAAUCGGAAUUACUGGGCGUAAAGCGCGCGUAGGCGGUUAUUUAAGUUGGACGUGAAAUCCCUGAGCUUAACUUAGGAAUGGCGUUCAAAACUGGAUAGCUAGAGUGGAGUAGAGGUGAGUGGAAUUUCCGGAGUAGCGGUGAAAUGCGUAGAUACCGGAGGGAACACCAGUGGCGAAGGCGACUCACUGGACUCUUACUGACGCUGAGGUGCGAAAGCGUGGGGAGCAAAC
rnacentral:rRNA from 1 species